GAUGAACGCUGGCGGCGUGCCUAAUACAUGCAAGUCGAACGAGUGGCGAACGGGUGAGUAACACGUGGGAAACUACCCUUCAGCGGGGGAUAACUACUGGAAACGGUGGCUAAUACCGCAUACUAUCGGAUGAACCCAUAUGGGAUUAGCUAGUAGGUGGGGUAAAGGCUCACCUAGGCGACGAUCUCUAGCUGGUCUGAGAGGAUGAUCAGCCACACUGGGACUGAGACACGGCCCAGACUCCUACGGGAGGCAGCAGUGGGGAAUAUUGCACAAUGGGCGCAAGCCUGAUGCAGCCAUGCCGCGUGUAUGAAGAAGGCCUUAGGGUUGUAAAGUACUUUCAGCGGGGAGGCGUUACCCGCAGAAGAAGCACCGGCUAACUCCGUGCCAGCAGCCGCGGUAAUAC
rnacentral:rRNA from 1 species